GCGGGGUGUGGUGGUGCACGCCUGUAAUCCCAGCUACUCGGAGGCUGAGGCAGGAGAAUCACUUGAACUUGGGAGGUGAGGGUUGCAGUGAGUGGAGAUUGCUCCAGUGUACACUGUACUCCAGCCUAGGUGACAGAGCGAGAUUCUGUCUUUA
rnacentral:SRP_RNA from 2 species